UACGUAGGGUGCAAGCGUUGUCCGGAAUUAUUGGGCGUAAAGAGCUCGUAGGCGGUCUGUCGCGUCUGCUGUGAAAACUCGGGGCUUAACCCCGGGCCUGCAGUGGGUACGGGCAGACUAGAGUGCGGUAGGGGAGACUGGAAUUCCUGGUGUAGCGGUGAAAUGCGCAGAUAUCAGGAGGAACACCGGUGGCGAAGGCGGGUCUCUGGGCUGUAACUGACGCUGAGGAGCGAAAGCGUGGGGAGCGAACAGG
rnacentral:rRNA from 1 species